rnacentral:rRNA from 1 species
GGAAGAAGGGCUUCGGUCUGUAAACUGCUUUUGUCAGGGAAGAACUUUGACGGUACCUGAAGAAUAAGGGGUUGCUAACCUCGUGCCAGCAGCAGCGGUAAUACGAGGACCCCAAGCGUUAUCCGGAAUUACUGGGCGUAAAGCGUGAGCAGCCGGUUUUGCUAGUCUCAUGUUAAAUCUCAUUGCUCAACGAUGAGACCGCGUGGGAAACGGCAAGGCUAGUCGGGGUAAGAGGCAGACGGAACGUGCAGUGUAGGGGUGAAAUCCAUUGAUAUUGCACGGAACACCAAAAGCGAAAGCAGUCUGCUAGUGCCUUCGAGACGGUCAAUCACUAAAGCGUGGGGAUCAAAAAGGAUUAGAUACCCCGGUAGUCC